rfam:Pristionchus pacificus strain PS312 contig5500, whole genome shotgun sequence.
UCUUCAAUUCACGAGCUCUCUCACCGGUCAGAGAGGCGAGAGAGUGUGUGAAAUGAAGAGA